AAAAAGGGCAUAAUUUGGUGGUCUUUUUUAAAAGCAGAAAAAAUCUUACUUUUUAUUUCAGUGGAUUUGUUUGCUUUUAGGACAAUUUUUGUUUCUCAUUCAUUUUCUUUCAGUAAUUCAUUAUUUGCAUGACAGGUUUUACAAGCAAAACAGUUGACUGCAAAAUAUUAAAGACCUCUGACAGCUUCUUAUUAAAGCAGUGUCACAUCCUGAAGUCCUUGGUAAAGCUUCAUGUCAAAUGGUACAGCUGUGCUAUCAGAGUUAAACACUGGAGAGAAUCCAAGAAGAACUGGACAAAAAGAAUUAAUGAAUGAGAAGCAAGAAAAGCCUGGGCCACACAUUUUAAGCCUUAAUGUCACAGAACACACCAUGGGAAAAUAUUGUUUAUAAUCCAUAAAUAAACACUUUAGUUA
rnacentral:lncRNA from 1 species